CCUACGGGAGGCAGCAGUGAGGAAUAUUGGGCAAUGGACGAGAGUCGGAACCAGCCAAGGAGCGUGAAGGAUGACUGCCCUAUGGGUUGUAAACUUCUGUUAUAGGGGAAUAAAAUGGUCCACGUGUGGGAUUUUGUAUGUACCAUAUGAAUAAGGAUCGGCUAACUCCGUGCCAGCAGCCGCGGUAAUACGGAGGAUCCGAGCGUUAUCCGGAUUUAUUGGGGUUAAAGGGAGCGUAGGUGGAUUGGUAAGUCAGUUGUGAAAGUUUGCGGCUCAACCGUAAAAUUGCAGUUGAAACUGGCAGUCUUUCGUACAGUAGAGUUGGGCGGAUUUCGUGGUGUAGCGG
rnacentral:rRNA from 1 species